rnacentral:rRNA from 1 species
UACGUAGGGUGCGAGCGUUAAUCGGAAUUACUGGGCGUAAAGCGUGCGCAGGCGGUUUUGUAAGACAGGUGUGAAAUCCCCGGGCUUAACCUGGGAACUGCAUUUGUGACUGCAUGGCUAGAGUACGGUAGAGGGGGAUGGAAUUCCGCGUGUAGCAGUGAAAUGCGUAGAUAUGCGGAGGAACACCGAUGGCGAAGGCAAUCCCCUGGACCUGUACUGACGCUCAUGCACGAAAGCGUGGGGAGCAAACAGG